AUGAGAGUUUGAUCCUGGCUCAGGACGAACGCUGGCGGCGUGCCUAAUACAUGCAAGUAGAACGCUGAUGUUUGGUGUUUACACUAGACUGAUGAGUUGCGAACGGGUGAGUAACGCGUAGGUAACCUGCCUCAUAGCGGGGGAUAACUAUUGGAAACGAUAGCUAAUACCGCAUAAGAGUGAUUAACACAUGUUAGUUAUUUAAAAGGAGCAAUUGCUUCACUGUGAGAUGGACCUGCGUUGUAUUAGCUAGUUGGUGAGGUAAAGGCUCACCAAGGCGACGAUACAUAGCCGACCUGAGAGGGUGAUCGGCCACACUGGGACUGAGACACGGCCCAGACUCCUACGGGAGGCAGCAGUAGGGAAUCUUCGGCAAUGGACGGAAGUCUGACCGAGCAACGCCGCGUGAGUGAAGAAGGUUUUCGGAUCGUAAAGCUCUGUUGUUAGAGAAGAACGUUGGUAGGAGUGGAAAAUCUACCAAGUGACGGUAACUAACCAGAAAGGGACGGCUAACUACGUGCCAGCAGCCGCGGUAAUACUAGGUCCCGAGCGUUGUCCGGAUUUAUUGGGCGUAAAGCGAGCGCAGGCGGUUCUUUAAGUCUGAAGUU
rnacentral:rRNA from 1 species